rnacentral:rRNA from 1 species
GACGAACGCUGGCGGCGUGCUUAACACAUGCAAGUCGAACGGAAAGGCCCUGCUUUUGUGGGGUGCUCGAGUGGCGAACGGGUGAGUAACACGUGAGUAACCUGCCCUUGACUUUGGGAUAACUUCAGGAAACUGGGGCUAAUACCGGAUAGGAGCUCCUGCUGCAUGGUGGGGGCUGGAAAGUUUCGGCGGUUGGGGAUGGACUCGCGGCUUAUCAGCUUGUUGGUGGGGUAGUGGCUUACCAAGGCUUUGACGGGUAGCCGGCCUGAGAGGGUGACCGGCCACAUUGGGACUGAGAUACGGCCCAGACUCCUACGGGAGGCAGCAGUGGGGAAUAUUGCACAAUGGGCGGAAGCCUGAUGCAGCAACGCCGCGUACGGGAUGACGGCCUUCGGGUUGUAAACCGCUUUCGCCUGUGACGAAGCGUGAGUGACGGUAAUGGGUAAAGAAGCACCGGCUAACUACGUG